rnacentral:lncRNA from 1 species
AUUUUUUUUUAGAACAUAUAUACUUUCAAAGCAUGUGUAUUUUAACAAGCAGAAUGUAAGCCCCAUGAGAAUACAACCCUUGCCUAUCUUAUUCACCAAUAUAGUCCCAAUAGUUCUAUCAGUGUCUGGCAAAUAGUAGGCACUCGAUAAAUAUGCCUUGACUAAAUAAAUAUAUGCUUCUUUUAAGAGAUGCAUUAUUAGGCAGCCAACCCAUUUUUCCAUUCAUGCUAACGAUAACCUUUAAAAAAAAAUUAAUCUGCUGCGGCAACAGCCAAGAAUGAGCUAAAAAUUCCUCCCCGCUUCUCCUGACUAUCCGUCAGAGACAUAGAGCAUCCCCUGUCAGAUGGCUGUCAGACCCAAGCUGAAAUAACUGCUGUCCUCUCCAUCAACUUACAGCAUCUAUGCCUCGUACCCUGAGGAAGAUAUGGAAAUGGCUUGCAAUAAGAGGACUAGCCAGACAAGAGCUGCACUCCAUUCUGAAGGAGUGGUUCAAGAGCCAACCUUGUUUAAAAGCCUGAAAAUCAGGAAAAUUUCCAGAGUCACUUUGGACCAUGUUUGUUAAAGAGAUUUUCUGUUGGGAAGAACAGGGAGGCUAACAGAGCUAAGAACCAGAAGAAUCAGAGAGAGAGAGAGAGAAGACAUUCAGUCCUGCAGCAAUCCACGCUCAGAAAACUGAGCAGAAAGAAGAGGAAAAGAAUGAGGAAAGCAGUACCAGAGUUUUCAAAAUCCUUUCACCGUAAGGCUUGUUUCUGGAUUGGUCUUCCAUACAUUAACUAUGUUCUGACAGUCAGAGAAUAGUUUAUAUGUGUUCAUUGCUCAACAAAUAUGU